GGGGGAGUGGCAGAGCGGUCGAAUGCGGCGGUCUUGAAAACCGCAGAGGUGGCGUUCCCACCUCCGGGGGUUCGAAUCCCUCCUCCCCCGCCA
rnacentral:tRNA from 1 species